ACUGGCGCACGGGUGAGUAACGCGUGGGAACGCGCUUUUUGGUACGGAAUAACGUCGGGAAACUGACGCUAAUACCGUAUACGCUCUACGGAGGAAAGAUUUAUCGCCAAAAGAUCGGCCCGCGUCAGAUUAGCUAGUUGGUAGGGUAACGGCCUACCAAGGCUUUGAUCUGUAGCUGUUCUGAGAGGAAGAUCAGCCACACUGGAACUGAGACACGGUCCAGACUCCUACGGGAGGCAGCAGUGGGGAAUAUUGGACAAUGGGGGAAACCCUGAUCCAGCCAUGCCGCGUGAGUGAUGAAGGCCUUAGGGUUGUAAAGCUCUUUUAGCAGGGAAGAUGAUGACGGUACCUGCAGAAUAAGCACCGGCUAACUUCGUGCCAGCAGCCGCGGUAAUACGAAGGGUGCUAGCGUUGUUCGGAAUCACUGGGCGUAAAGCGUGCGUAGGCGGCUUUGCAAGUCAGGGGUGAAAUGCCAAGGCUUAACCUUGGAACUGCCUUUUGA
rnacentral:rRNA from 1 species